GGUAAAUGAUCUGGAGUGUGUUUGCAUAUUGAUCAGAUGCUUCAGUGCUCUGAGAGUGUUUAUAGUGCUGUGAGUUUAACACUUCAUCACUGACACACACAACAAUCUUCAUCAACAUGACCUUCAUCAUCAUCUUCAUCUGGACUCUCACAGCGUUUGCUCAAGAGUGUAGAGGACAGAUCACCGUCACUCAGAGUCCCUCAAUGACAGCAGCUCAACCAGGAGAAACUGUCAAAAUCAACUGUAGAACCAGCACAGAUGUGCAUGGUGGUGAUCGUUUAUUCUGGUACUUACAGAAACCUGGAGACGCUCCUAAACUCCUGAUUCGUUAUGCAAAAUAUCUUGAGUCAGGAACUCCAUCUAGAUUCAGUGGCAGUGGAUCUAACAGUGAUUUCACUCUGACCAUCAGUGGAGUCCAGACUGAAGAUGCUGGACAUUAUUACUGUCAGAGUUUUCAUUGCAGAUCAAGUGGUUCUUAUUGUUUGGGUGGUUAUGUGUUUUCGCACAGUGAUAAAGAGUCGUACAAAAACCUCUGUCAGUCAGAGUCACAGUGACUGAACUGAUUCUGC